AACACUGUACUUUCAGGGAUCAUUUAUAUGAUUUGUGGCUACAGAGGUUGCUCAGCGUGAGGAGCCACAGAAACCACGAGGAGGAGGCGCAGCAUUCUCUGUGGCGUGUGAAGCCAGCUCUUGGUGUUACUUCGCUACAAUUGCAUUUGCCAUUGAUGAUGGAAGGGAGAGAGGAUGUAGCCUGAGUGAU
rnacentral:snoRNA from 1 species